rnacentral:rRNA from 1 species
UACGUAGGGGGCGAGCGUUGUCCGGAUUUAUUGGGCGUAAAGAGCGUGUAGGCGGCCAGGUAGGUCUGCUGUGAAAACUCGAGGCUCAACCUCGAGACGUCGGCGGAAACCAUCUGGCUAGAGUCCGGAAGAGGAGAGUGGAAUUCCUGGUGUAGCGGUGAAAUGCGUAGAGCUCGGGAAGAACAUCGGUGGCGAAAGCGCUCUGCUGGACUGCAACUGACACUCAGGGACGAAAGCUAGGGGAGCGAAUGGG